AAAUACAUUUUUAAAAUAUUUAAUAUUAAUCUUCAAUUGAAAUACUAUUGCAAUAAUCCAAAACAAAAUUUAUAUCAUGUUUUCAAAUCAAACAUGAUAUAAUGUCUAUAUACAAUGUCUUUUCAAUUGCCAAACUUCCUAAAUAUGAACUUCUUUUGGCUCCUUGGUUUGGAACCCCUUGUACUUUACCAAGUCCAGUGCUGUAGAAUUUCAAAUUGCCUGAUUUAUUGAUUUCAGUUUCUUUAGCAUCACCGAGCAACUUCACGCCCUGAAAUGGAGAUUGUGGUUUACUUCUGCAGGGAGAUAUGCCUGCAGCAGCAGCUCGUGAACGCCGNNNN
rnacentral:lncRNA from 1 species